GGCUUAUCCGGUUGAGUUCUUACGCUUUCAUGUCUACAACUCAAUUCAUCUGAUUACAGGGAUGAACCCAAUCUGGAAUAUGGACCAUAAAAGAAAAUACCUAUUAAACCAAUCACAAGAAUACCAGUUAUAGUACCUAUUAUCCAAAGAGGAAUCCUUCCAGUAAUAUCGGCCAUUUACUCUACUUCCCUCCAAUUUCAUCAAGUGGUCAUGCUGACAUAAACUGUCAUGGAUAAUUAUGAGAUGAGAUCCUUCCGAAUGGGCUAAGAGAAUGCCUAGAAUUCUUAUUUAUUUUCUUUCGUUUUCCUAAUUGAAGAAAUAAUUGGAAAAUAAAACAGCAAGUACAAAAAUGGGUAAUAACCCCCAGUAGAGACUGGUAUGAUUCAAUUCAACAUUUUGUUCGUUCGAGUCCCAACACUAAUGAUAGACCAUGUCACAUGAUGAAUCUAAAGAUUCAAAAAAUCA
rnacentral:lncRNA from 1 species